CUGGGGAAAAACAAACAGCAUCAGAUCACUAUGAUAUUAGUUACACAGAAGAAUGGAAAGGUGAUCUUCGGAGAGUAGGAUUGUAGGUGGUUUUUUUUAAUCGAAUUUUUACAUUUUCUACCAGUUCACCAUGCAUCACUUGUUAUUUAAAAGCCAAUUGUAUUACGUAUAAAAAGAAAGAAGAGGGGCCGGUCCUCAGCCCUCUCCGGGGUGGCUGGCUUCUGCUGGUACCAGCUUUAGCUGAAAUAGUCAUAACGAUAGCUCACACUUGGAGACUGUUGACAGCACGCCUGCCACUUUGAGUGCUUUAUGUGACAUGUAUGAACUCGUUUAAUCCUCCUCACCAGCUUGGCCAAGGUCGUGAAGCUGAGGAGCGGCAGGCGAGAGUCCAGCCUCUCCACUAUGUGCUAUGCUGCUUUUCUGGAAGUUGUUUCCAAGCCCUGUGGAUGAAAGGCCUGUCCUUGCCUCGCUCCCUCCACAGUGAAAACAGCCUCCAUUCUGUGCCAGGCGGGAGCUCUCAGGGCUGGGUGUGUGACCCCACUCUGGCAAACAAGGACUAGGAGGACCUACCUCACAAGAUUGUUGGAAGGAUUAAAUUCACAUAAAGUGCUUAGAACACUACUUUGGACACUCUUUCUGUGUCUUCAGUCAUCAUUUACAAACACUUAAAUAAAUAUCUACGUAUUCCCACCUCCUUUGCAGCAGAUCUAACCAUACAACUAAGUUGUGGCCAAUGGAAUGUAAGUAGAAGUGGUAUGUGCAACUUCCAGGAAUUGCCCUCAAAUGGAGAGAUUGUGCCUUUCUCCUCCCCUUUGUCUCUUUCCUGCUAAAUGAAAUUUAGGAAUGGUGGCUGGAGCUGGAGCAGCCAUUUUGGACCAUGAGGCAAAAGCUGAAUGUGGAGGAUUUUGAAGCAACAAGAUAGGAAAUGUCCAAAUCCCUAACAAUUGUGGUACCAACAUACCAGCCUGGACUGCAUUCCUGGACACUCACAUGAGAAAA
rnacentral:lncRNA from 1 species